rnacentral:rRNA from 1 species
UACGAAGGUCCCAAGCGUUAUCCGGAUUUAUUGGGUUUAAAGGGUGCGUAGGCGGAUUAUUAAGUCAGUGGUGAAAGCUCCAUGCCUAACAUGGAAAAUGCCAUUGAUACUGAUGAUCUUGAGUACAUUUGAAGUGGGCGGAAUGUGUCAUGUAGCGGUGAAAUGCUUAGAUAUGACACAGAACACCGAUUGCGUAGGCAGCUCACUAAACUGUAACUGACGCUGAGGCACGAAAGCGCGGGGAGCAAACAGG